rnacentral:rRNA from 1 species
AGGACGAACGCUGGCGGCGUGCUUAACACAUGCAAGUCGAGCGGAAAGGCCACUUCGGUGGUACUCGAGCGGCGAACGGGUGAGUAACACGUGAGUAAUCUGCCCCUGGCUUUGGGAUAGCCACCGGAAACGGUGAUUAAUACCGGAUAUGACAUUGACUCGCAUGGGUUGGUGUGGAAAGUUUUUCGGCCAGGGAUGUGCUCGCGGCCUAUCAGCUUGAUGGUGAGGUAAUGGCUCACCAUGGCUUCGACGGGUAGCCGGCCUGAGAGGGUGACCGGCCACACUGGGACUGAGACACGGCCCAGACUCCUACGGGAGGCAGCAGUGGGGAAUAUUGGACAAUGGGCGGAAGCCUGAUCCAGCAACGCCGCGUGAGGGAUGACGGCCUUCGGGUUGUAAACCUCUUUCAGUACCGACGAAGCGCAAGUGACGGUAGGUACAGAAGAAGCACCGGCCAACUACGUGCCAGCAGCCGC